UCAAAAUAUUCUAACAAGUCUUCCUUUCUGGUCCAGAUUAUCAUUUCAGUGAAGUGGAAGAAUUUAAUAGAAAGAUUGACAAACAAUUGAGGAAAGAAGAGAGAUCAUUCAAUUGAGUUGAAGCCUACAGCCAUUCUAUCCAUGCAGCAACUGAUGGAAAAGGGGUUCGCUUUGGUGCUGUUGUGAUGUUGUCGCAAAAAUGACAUGUGUGUGUAUGUAUAUAUAUAUAUAUAUAUAUAUAUAUAUAUAUUA